AUGGAGAAACUCCUGACCGUGUCUUUGGUGAUUCUGUGGCUUCAACUGGCCAAGGUGAACAGCCAGCAAGGAGACGAGAAUCUUCAGGCCCUGAGCAUCCAGGAGGGUGAAAAUGCCACCAUGAACUGCAGUUAUAAAACUGCUAUAGAAAACCUUACAUUGGUACAGACAGGAUUCAAGGAGAGGCUUUGCCCACCUGAUUUUAAUACGUUCAAAUGAGAGAGAGAAGCUUAGUGGAAGACUGCGAGUCACGCUUGACAACUCCAUCAAAGGCAGUUCCCUGUCCAUCACGGCUUCCCAGGCUGCAGACACUGCUACUUACCUCUGUGCUACGGAUACACAGUGCUCACCAAGCAACUGCAGCCCCAACGCAAACCCUGCCAGAGCUGCCUCUUAG